UUCAAAGGAACUCCAAGAAAUGCUGAGCAACAGGACCCAUUUCCGAAGCUUUUGUCAGUCACGAUUAAAUGGAGCAUGGUGCAAUUCGUGUUGGCAGAUUAGAUCAAUCAGAACCGCAAACUUGAGCAACCUGCUCAACUGUCACGCAGCAGUCUGCAGUUUUUUUGAGUCUUCCGUUUAAGUUCUGCCAGUUCAGGAUAGGUCAAAUAAAAUCGCAGUUGGUUUUCCUGUAAGGUGUCCGAUUGUGCUCGUUGAAUCCAGUGACGAUCACACAACAUGUUAUGUAUGACCUCCACUGGCUUCCUGUUGCGGCCCGUAUCCGACUCAAGACGAUGGUGCUGGCCUUCGAGGGCGUCAACGGAACUGCACCCGUCUACCUCCAAACACU